rnacentral:rRNA from 1 species
GACGUAGGUCGCAAACGUUAUCCGGAAUCAUUGGGCGUAAAGAGUUCGUAGGUGGUUUGUUAAGUAGAUUGUUAAAGACCCAAGCUUAACUUGGGGACUGCGAUCUAAACUGGCAGACUAGAGAGAGGCAGGGGCAGAUGGAAUUCUGUGUGUAGGGGUAAUAUCCGUAGAUACACAGAGGAACACCAAAAGCGAAGGCAUUCUGCUGGGCCUCUUCUGACACUCAAGAACGAAAGCGUGGGGAGCAAACAGG